CCCGGGCCUUGUACACACCGCCCGUCACACCAUGGGAGUUGGUUUUACCCGAAGCCGGUGCGCGAACCUGAAAGGGACGCAGCCGACCACGGUAAGGUCAGCGACUGGGGUG
rnacentral:rRNA from 1 species